UACGUAGGGUGCAAGCGUUAAUCGGAAUCACUGGGCGUAAAGGGUGCGUAGGCGGGUCUUUAAGUCAGAGGUGAAAUCCUGGAGCUCAACUUCAGAACUGCCUUUGAUACUGAGGAUCUUGAGUACGGGAGAGGUGAGUGGAACUGCGAGUGUAGAGGUGAAAUUCGUAGAUAUUCGCAAGAACACCAGUGGCGAAGGCGGCUCACUGGCCCGUAACUGACGCUGAGGCACGAAAGCGUGGGGAGCAAACAGG
rnacentral:rRNA from 1 species